GUGCCUGCUUUGGCAGCACAUAUACUAAGAUUGGAAUGAUACAGAGAAGAUUAACAUGGCCCCUGCCCAAGGAUGAUACGCACAUUUGUGAAGCGUUCUGUAUCUUU